CACAUCAUCUCUACUCAUCCCUCUCUCUGUAUCUGGGUUGGCUGGUCUCUCCAUCUCUUUGAUAUUAUUUCUCCUGUUCUGCUACCAAAAGAGGACUAAAGACUGUACAGAGACGCCUCUUCUACUGGAGACUGUCAUUAUCUACUCUGUGAGACCGGCUGUAGGUCCAUCUAAGGGAGGGUUGAGUCUGACUGAAGGAUGAGGAGAGAAGAGGACCUCUGAACACAUUCACACCUCUUGUCCACACACACACCUGUAUAGUCCCCACCCCAA